rnacentral:rRNA from 1 species
UACGUAGGGUGCAAGCGUUAAUCGGAAUUACUGGGCGUAAAGCGUGCGCAGGCGGCUAUGCAAGACAGAUGUGAAAUCCCCGGGCUCAACCUGGGAACUGCAUUUGUGACUGCAUGGCUAGAGUACGGUAGAGGGGGAUGGAAUUCCGCGUGUAGCAGUGAAAUGCGUAGAUAUGCGGAGGAACACCGAUGGCGAAGGCAAUCCCCCUGGGACCUGUACUGACGCUCAUGCACGAAAGCGUGGGGAGCAAACAGG